AUGUUUUUUGGUAUAUUAAUGAAAAAUUUGACCUGCUCACUGUGAUUUAAUAAAGAGCUGCAGUAUUUUGACUGUACAAAGGUAGCAUAAUCAUUAGUCUUUUAAUUGAUGACUAGUAUGAAAGGUUCGACGAAGAGAUACUCUCUAAGAUUUAAUUGUUAAAGUUUUCUUUUUUGUUAAAAGACAAAGAUAUUAUUAAUAGACAAAAAGACCCUAUUAAACUUUAUUAGGUUGGGGGUUGUUGCUUGAAGUAUUUUAGUAAGAUUUUUACCUUAAUUUUAUUGGGGCGAUAAGUAUUAUUCUAUAUUAUGAGGAAUAAACUAUGAUUGGACUUGUGUAAGAACCUAAUAGUUGGUUAUUAGAUGAAGUUACUAUAGGGAUAACAGCGUAAUGUUUUUAAAGAGUUCUUAUUGACAAAAAUGUUUGCGA
rnacentral:rRNA from 1 species